UGUGCCAAGGGAAAGGCGCAGGUUGCCAAGGCUGGUAGCCAGGACAGUCGCGGGAUGCGAUUUCAUCAGGACGAUGAACAGGGAAAUAAAGGGAAUAGGGACAAAAGAGUGGGCGGGUUAUCCCGCCCCUUUUUUU
rnacentral:sRNA from 1 species